UAGGUUUAUUUGAUCCCAAUUGUAUCGUAUUCGUGUAAAGCGCCAAACCCUAAUUCCAGAUUCCGAUCAUGUCGUCCAAGCAAGGAGGAAAAGCAAAGCCAUUGAAGCAACCUAAGGCUGAGAAGAAAGAAUACGACGAGAUUGACAAGGCCAACAUUCAAAAGAAGAAGGACGAGGAAAAGGCACUGAAGGAGCUUAGAGCAAAAGCUCAAAAAGGAGCACUGGGCGGUACGGGUCUGAAGAAAAGUGGAAAGAAAUGAAGACCCACGAAACCGAAAUUGUUGCAUAAGAUAUGAUGUUGUGACUAGUGAACUGCUACUAGACCGUUUACUAUUUGUUGGUAUAUCAAAUCUUCAGUAAUAAUCAUGAUGCUGAUAUUGGUCUUGAAUCUUGAUGUUGUUUUGGCUGCACC